GUUUCCUCCCACGUACGUUGUAUAAAAUAAAGGCAAAGUGCACCUCUAGACUAUUCUCCAGAUCAAGCUCUACCAGGAGUCACGAGUCAUCGAUGCGUGUGGGUACAUCCUCCUCCAUGUUCCGAUCAGGCCUCCCCGCCCCCGUCCUCCUCCAUGCUUCGAUCCGGCCUCGCCUCCCCGUCCCCGUCCUCCUUCAUGCUCCGAUCCGGCCUCCCCAUCCCCGUCUUCCUCAAUACUCCGAUCCGACCUCCUCGGUCUCCUCCACACAAAGAUCAGAAAGAGGUUAGCCCAGCGGAACGCCGUGUCACACAACGAUGCUUGCCAAGGGCAAGGGAGAUCGGGAGUCUCAGGGAUCAAAAAAGGAAGACCAGGCUCCUGGUGGCGCAAGCAUCCACGGUGGUGGCGACGCGAUUCCUUGGCUACACGGCAGCAGCGACUUGCGCAGUUCACGUGGCGGUUGUCGCCUCCAUGGAGCUUCUCGACCUCAGUCGUCACGUCACCCGCACAACAAAACCACAAGCACCAGCGACGCCGCCGGAAGAGGGGAUUGGGCGGCGGCUGAUUUGGGCCUCCCAGCCGGGGCUAGCAGGGAGGAGUGGCAUCGAUGAUAUUUCUCCUGUGUCGUAGCCAACGGGGGCGUCAGCGCACCCAACAGGCGGAACUAUCGAGUAUGGAGGCCUUGCUGGUGGACCGGCUGUGUUUCUGCACAAGUCAACAAGUUCCCGCCCUAAGGUGCCAAACUAGAGGGUUGGGGUGGACGGACAUCGAGAUCCGUGUGAUCUUCUUCAGCUUUUCUCGAAUAAUAGUAUGAUGAAACCACUGCGAGAUAUCUGCUGCAUAAGAGUGCAUAUUUCCUCCAUGAUUGCUGCUAGGAUUGAUGCCGUACUGGAGAAACAUGGCAGUAGCAGCAGCCCAUCAUCCAUCUCUGUCGAUGUGGUUGACACUUUGACAGUCACAACAUGGUACCCCGUCCUUCUCGAUGUACAGAUUUAUCUCUGUUGCUAUUUAUGGCUGAAACUGAGGACCACGUAUUAGAUGCAUGCAAUGUAUUUCUGUACCCAUGGUAUGUACGUACAUGCACUGAGAUUAUCUAAAAGAUAGUAACAGUGUGCCUCACAUCUCUCUUUGUUAGUGUCUUCGCUUAAUAAUGCUUGAUUGCUUUUAACAGCCGAUGCACCUGCAGUAGUCUGCAGAGACACUCCAUGCAGGUAUUAAGCAUCAUUGGAAGUUUACAACAGCCUAAUAUAUUAAUCAGCCCACGUACAGACAUGGCAAUGUGUUGGAUACAACCUCUAAUCACUUUCAUACUCAUGGUACGUACAAACUUCUCCAAUUAGUUGACCCUGUUUAGUUUUCUUCUUCCCCACCCCAUGACUCUUCAUUGAAUUUUACUGAAAAGAAGUUCUUAAUUAGAACACAACAUAUAAUAAUGAGAUAUGGUAUUAGUUCAAGAAAAUAUCCUGUGAUUGUAGUAUCUUUCAUGUGAGACAUUAAGGGACAAGGAAGCUGCAGUUUUUCUUCAGUACAAUUGUUAGGCAGAUGUUUGUUCAAACGCUAUAUGAGAAUGGGCUUCUUUUCGCAUGCCUUGAUUGGUAUUUCGAGCUCCUUGUGUAAUUACACGAGCUAUGGAAAAUUGACUGUAUGCUGCUCCUUUUGGACUGUUGUAACAUGAUCUUUACAUUCAUAUAUAGCAAAGCUUUGGGGGUAUUAAAAUUAGUUGGAUUAGUAGCUCUAUGGCAGUUAGUUCCAUCCAUGUUAAAAUAAGACUUUUGGUAUAUUAAAUGCAGUUUCUAUCAUCCAUCUAAUACAGGUUGCGUCCAAGUUUGUUUUUGUAUGUUAAUUUUAGCAUUUAAAAUUCCAAACUAUGCAUAUCAUUAGUUCGCACAUCAAGUUGAGCAAUUCUGUGACUUUUAAGUACAUAUAAUUAAGAUUAUGCAAGCCAUGAUUCAUAUUCGUAUUAGAGAAAGGGGAAAAUAUAGAACACGUGAAAGCCAUGAACAGGUAUGCUGAUCUCUUAUAAUUGUCUAAGAUUGAUUGUCAUUCUCUACUAAUAAAAUUCUACCGUGUAUGCCCUCAUAGAUUAUUUCCGAUGAUGCGACAACAAACAAUAUGGGACUGCCGAAUACUUGCCGGCCUGAGAAGUUGCCCAGGCUGGAAAGAUAGAUGGUCGGUAAUAUGGUUCUUCAACAUUGGCUACAUAAGAAGAACUAAUUGGUGCAUCAUAUAUGCCAUGCAUUUGGGUGAUGACUGCUACAAAGCCCCUAUGUUAUCUUUGAGUACUAACAGAAUAUUUUAUGUUACUUUUUAAGAUAUACGAGGAGACAUGCAAGAGAAAAUGUGUGCAAAUGGUUCAAUAAAAUAGAUAUUCAUAAUGCAUUGUGAUCAGGUGAACGCCGUGGCCAUUGCGAGUGCUGGAAGAAGGGUAAGUAGGCACACGGGAAGAACAUAUACCUCAAAAUAAGGACGUGCAGUUUUUUUUUCCAUUGCAACGCACGGAUAUGUUUGCUAUGUGGUAUAAAAAAGGUUGAUGAAAUCAUCAUAUGGAAAUGCUUGACCGUUUCCGUAAAUCACACAGUACGGUCUUAUCACUUUGUUUUUUUGCAUUAUUACCUUCUCCUGGGGUACUAUAUAUUCAGCAAUCCCACCUACCAGGUAAAUGAGUGCUUUUGUUUACUUUACGUGGUUGCCUGAUUAAUUUAGUCGUGGUUUCUGUUAGCUAUAUUUUCCCACUACCGAAACAACAACUUAUCUUUCAACCUACAAUAUACGCUACUCCUCGAUUGCCUAGCUCUCCUCUUAAGAAACCCCUCUGUUCUUCUAUAUGAUCAUCCAAAAAAUUGGGGUUAUAAUUUGGUGGAAAGAUACGCAUGGUGUUGAUGUUCAUUUCUAGAGGAAAAAUAAUCUCAGAUUUCUAACUGAACUAAAAUAAUCCAUCUAGGUAGAACAACUAGAGUUUAUGUCCCCGUUGCUGAUGUUCAUUUCUAGAGGAAAAAUAAUCUCAGAUUUCUAACUGAACUAAAAUAAUCCAUCUAGGUAGAACAACUAGAGUUUAUGUCCCUAAUCUCUCCCUCUCUCCCUAAUAUAAUAAUAAAGCACGGAUUGACUUUGUCGGGUUCACCGUCACAAUACGCUUCUUCCCGUAAGUUUACGCUUUCAGUUUUUUUUCUUCAACAUGUCUAUACUUAUUUUCUAUAUCCAAGGUGAUACUAAUAUUUUAUUUCCCUAAUAAUAAAGCAGCUAUUGCUUCGGCCCGAACAAUCGACACAAAAAUCGUUCGACCGCAUAUGUCCGCACGUCCAGCCUGAUCUGGCCCACCCAGCCCGUUGCUUCCAGCCCACCGCCUAUCUGUUCGUCCAUAGCAUGAGUUCAUGUCUGACUCCAUCGAAGAACGAAGCUUGUAUUACAACUCGGAAACUGAUCGAAACGCUAUAAAUAAGUUAACCGCCCCGAUUUCCUCCCUCACGUCGCACCAUAAUAAUAAAAUCGAAUCAAAAGAAAUCUGGGCGAAACCUCCACGGCGCCGGUCCAUCCUCGACGCACCUGACCCAAGUCUCGCCGCCUGCGAGCUUCAGGAGGCCCACGCGGACUGACUGCUACUGCUGGGCGUCGUCUGCCACGGCGCCGACGAGGGAUGCAUCCUCGAGGUGAUCAACCCGAGGCUUGCCACCGCCGAGUUCCAGAAAGGCAACACUCCUGCUGCCAAGCCUAGCGAUCGUGUUCCACGACGCCGAGGGGUGAUGCAUCAGCAAGGCCGUCAACCCGAGGCUCGCCGCCGCCAAGUUCCAGAAGGGCAACCCUUCUGCAGCAGCGGCCAUCUGAACCCAGGUUAGUGGCCGAGGGCGAAGACCAUCGUGCAUAUCCGGAUGUGCCUGCAUUCAUGUGGAUGGCGCAGCCAGGGAACGGCAGUACGGACACACUGGCCAAGUAUUGCAUCCUGAUGUACUUACUUACAAUGUUGCAUUAUUUGCCCAUCUGAAGUAGGGUGACCAGAAGAGUGCAAAGUAUGAUACUAAGCUAUGCACCGGCGAGCAAUUCAAAGAAGCUAAUGUUAGUUUGGAUGAGAUGAUGCAAAAGGGAUUGUUCAACGUACAUAACUUUGACGGAGGGGCUCAUGAAGACACAGAAAAGGCAUACACACUCCAUGGUGGACUGCAGGAGGAAAGGGAGGGGAGCUACAGGCAUAUAGCUUCCAUGUUAAACUUAAAACAGUGGAGGCAAGGCAUAGAGAUGUGCUUUGUAUUGUAGAGGCACACGUUCAUGUGGCCGACCCUGCUAGGGAAUAACAGACACACCAUGCUCGAUGAAUUCGACGCGGAUGAGAUUGACCUGCUAGAGCUGUACUGCUCUGUCUGGCCAAUAGCAAAGGUACCGUUUACCUUCUCUCCUUAGGUUCAAUCAUUCCAGGCUUCUAUCCCUUCUCAACAUUUUUUGCUGUAGGACAAUAUGUUUGUGGAAUUAUUAUUGCCACGGGUUCAGUCCUAAGGCAUGGAUUAUCUAUCUGAAUAUAUGACUUCAAUCAGGAAUCAAUUGCUAAUAAAGUAAAUAGGGAAAUAUUGUCAGUUCAAAUAACUACUGACUAUGCGCAUUGCACCGACAAUCGGUGUCUUUUUUGCGAGGGGAUUAUUAUUGCCACGGCUUCCAUUCCAAGACAAAGUAGAACCAACAAUACAUGUUGACCAGUUGAUCAAUUGGUGCUGUUACCUGACCUUUCUUUAUAAUUGCAUCAGUUUACCAUUGAUUUCCGUCCAUCUUAUUAAAACUGCUAUAUAUUUGUUGUUCAGUUGAGAUUUUAUGCAGAUUUCUUUAUAAGGUAUGCUUUGUAAGAGUUUCUUAUUUUGUAUAGGUUGUGGAUCAUAAAUUAAUUAAUCUAUUAAUU